rnacentral:rRNA from 1 species
AUUGAACGCUAGCGGGAUGCUUUACACAUGCAAGUCGAACGGCAGCGCGGACUUCGGUCUGGCGGCGAGUGGCGAUCGGGUGAGUAAUGUAUCGGAACGUGCCCAGUAGCGGGGGAUAACUACGCGAAAGCGUAGCUAAUACCGCAUACGCCCUACGGGGGAAAGCAGGGGAUCGUAAGACCUUGCACUAUUGGAGCGGCCGAUAUCGGAUUAGCUAGUUGGUGAGGUAACGGCUCACCAAGGCGACGAUCCGUAGCUGGUUUGAGAGGACGACCAGCCACACUGGGACUGAGACACGGCCCAGACUCCUACGGGAGGCAGCAGUGGGGAAUUUUGGACAAUGGGGGCAACCCUGAUCCAGCCAUCCCGCGUGUGCGAUGAAGGCCUUCGGGUUGUAAAGCACUUUUGGCAGGAAAGAAACGUCGCGGGCUAAUACCCCGUGGAACUGACGGUACCUGCAGAAUAAGCACCGGCUAACUACGUG